UUGUUUCUUCUUCUUCCGUAAGCUUCUUCAUCUUCUUCCAACUCUCUGUCUCCUUCUUCCUCUCUUUAUGCUUCUGUACAACUAUUGAAUGUAGACCUACAGAUUCUUCUCUAAAUAUUCUUAAAAUCUGUAGAUCUAUUGAAGCUGUUAUAAUGCACAUUUUCUCGAGUCUCAGAUCUUAGAUCCAGACCCUUGUCGUUUCAUUGAUCCAAGAUCGACCUUCCUCUAUGGACAGACAUUGUGAAGACUGGUCGUUUAAAGAAGCUUGCUCUAUACGACCCUCAUUGCUUCUAUGGUCAGAAAGAUUUAGUUGAGAGGAGGUCUUGGAGUUGGUGCUUUCUAAAGAAUCUAUGGUGGUGGCAAAAGAAAUGGAAGUCGACCACCACAUUUCUGUAAGAGCCGUGGUGGUUUUGCUCGCCAUAUUCUCCAACAGUUGGAGACAAUGAGCAUUGUUGACAAGACACGUCGGCGAUGGUGGUAGCUUCCCGUUUGCAGGAGCUUUGCACAAGUCUCAGAUUUUCUCCACUACUAUCUAUUUGCCUUGUUCUUGUGGUAUGGUUUGUGUACUUCAUUGUGGGUUUUUUAUUUAUUAAUUUGAUUGCUUUGAACUUCGGAUGUUGUAUUAUUUGGGAUGUUGUAUGUUUUACAAUAAUAUUUUAUGUUUCGUUUAUUUGCUA